GAAGGAGACUAAAACCAAUUUAAAAAUAAAAACCCACCUCAGCCUGUGGGAACAGGACUGGACAUGUGGGAGCCCCCGCCUGCCAAGGGCUCUGGGGGACAGCUGUUCUUUGGUCUUGCAGUUCUGGGGAUGAAGCCAGGGCUCUGCCACUGGGCUCCACCCCCGGCCUCUUUCCCUUGGUUUUGAAGAACAGGACACUGGAAGGUCAGGAGGUAGUCCUGCUGGACCCAGCCAGGGGGUGGCAAAGGACGGAAACGGGAAUCAACUUUGGCGUGUGAAGGCACAUUUAACCCCUUUGACACCUCUGAGAAUCGUCCCUGUCCCAUCCCAUACCCGAGGCCAGGCAGGGAGAGGUGGGGAGCCUCCUGUCACCCGCUGGCUUGUCUAAUUUGGGGUCCUCUGCAGGGCAGGUCCCCCCCUCUCCCCCCACUCGCUGCCUUGGGCGGAGGAGAGCUCCCGGGCUGCGGUCCAGGUGGAGGACUUUGGUAGGGGACCCCUGGGUGCCCAGAUGCCCAGGGCCUCCUGGAGAUUCCUCGCCGCGCCAGCCCUGGUCGCCUCACUACCCGUCCUGCCCCACCGUGCGGAGGACCGGUGGGUCGUGCGCGGGAUUGGAGAGUCAGCAGGACACCGCCCUCAACCCGGCAGCCACGACUGAGCCCCGACGGGACUCCAGGGUCCUGCGAAACCGACAGCAGCUCUCAGAGGACGAGGGGCUGAGCCCGGAGAGCAGCAGUAG
rnacentral:lncRNA from 1 species